rnacentral:lncRNA from 1 species
GGCACACUAGUGCCUCGGAGAGGGACCACACUGGCAGAUGGAAACGACCACAAAAGCCACAGAGAAAGUGCAGGCUUCCAGAGGCAACAAGUAGGCAACCAGAUUGGCAGCAGAAACAAUGCCAAGGCCCCUGCAUUAGCAGGGAGGGCCAGCCUCACCAGCUGGAUUUUCUUUCUCCUCAGGUUGGGAUGGCCAAUGGUGAGCCUGACUGGUGGGAGGAUGGGCAGGCACCGUGGAGGAUCCUAGGCCCAGGUAGCCCAACAAUGGACAACAAGCUUCUCUUUCUCCUGCAGGCUCCUUCACAACAGUGAGCAGAGGGACAAUGGAGGAACCAGCCAAACAUUUGCUUGAGCCUACGGCAGGAGACCAUCCAGAAAGAAGCUGGUGGUAGAGGGAUUCAUGGACAGCGCUGGAGCCAUCUGGUCUGGGGAGGCUUGAAGAGGAGGCAAGUGAAGGAGGCUCACAUAGGAUGUGUCUUAAGGUGUCCUUAAGAAGCUGAAAAUGUCAUGACUAACCUGCCAACAUGGUGAAACCCUGUCUUUACUAAAAAUACACAAACUAGCUGGGCAUCCUGGUUGGCACCUGUAAUCCCAGCUACUCGGGAGGCUGAGGCAGAAGAAUCACUUGAAUCCAGGAGGCGGAGGUUGCGGUGAGAGCUGAGAUCACGUCAUUGUACUCUAGCCUGAGGGACAAGAGUGAAAAAAUGGUCGUUUAAUCUAUCUAGGUCAGCGGAAAUAAUCAGAUGCAAAUGUCCACUGUAGUUUACAUUUUCUACUACUUCAAAACUUAAUAUGGGCACAUAUUUAGUUUCGUACUUCUUAUCCUCUAUAUGUUAUUUGACAAAAUAAAGCUAUUGUUCCGCCUUUAUAUAAACCUGCUGUCCAAAAAAAUGUGAAUACAAUUUUCAACAUUAAAG